rnacentral:rRNA from 1 species
GCCAGCAGCCAUAUCACUCUGCAUCUCACAACUAGCAACUGGCUAAAGUUAAGCAGGGGUGAGCCUGCUCAGUACCUGGAUGGGAAACCUCCUGGAAAACACUAAGGUUGGUGCUGGAG